rnacentral:lncRNA from 1 species
AGGACUUUCUCCUCAGGCUGCUAAAGGACCUUAUUAAUAAGCAGACCUGGACAGAUGAAGGCUCUGUCUCAGAGAGGAUGCUCAGGAGCCAGCUCUUACUCCUAGCAUGUGUGCACAGGUAUCAGCUCUGCGUGCAGAGGGCAGAGCGCUAUUUCAGAGAGUGGAAGGCAUCCAAUGGAAACAUGAGCCUCCCUAUUGAUGUGACCUUGGCGGUGUUUGCUGUUGGGGCCCAGAACACAGAAGGCUGGGAUUUUCUUUAUAGUAAAUAUCAGUCUUCUUUGUCUAGUACCGAGAAAAGCCAAAUUGAAUUUUCCCUCUGCAUAAGCCAAGACCCAGAAAAACUUCAGUGGCUUCUAGACCAAAGUUUUAAGGGAGAGAUAAUAAAAACUCAGGAAUUCCCACAUAUUCUCACGCUCAUUGGCAGAAACCCAGUGGGUUAUCCAUUGGCCUGGAAGUUUCUGAAGGAAAAUUGGAACAAGAUUGUACAGAAAUUUGAACUUGGCUCAUCAUCCAUAGCUCACAUGGUAAUGGGAACAACAAACCAGUUUUCCACCAGAGCACGUCUUGAAGAGUCUACUUUUUUCCCCCAAGGUAAAAGGAUUCUUCAGCUCCUUGAAAAAAAAUGGUUCUCAGCUCCGUUGUGUUCAACAAACCAUUGAAACCAUUGAAGAAAACAUACGAUGGAUGGAUAAAAAUUUUGAUAAAAUAAGACUGUGGCUUCAAAAAGAAAGGCAGGAGUUGCUGUGACAAUUUGUUUCAUACCAAGUUCCUGAAUUUAUAAUUAGUAAAAUUUUCUUCAAUUUG